GACGAACGCUGGCGGCGCGCUUUAUACAUGCAAGUCGAACGUGAAGCUCGGAGCUUGCUCCGGGUGGAAAGUGGCGAACGGGUGAGUAUCACGUGAGAAACCUGCCCCGAAGACCGGGAUAACACCGGGAAACCGGUGCUAAUACCGGAUGCCCUCACCGGAUCGCAUGGUCUGGUGAGGAAAUGGAUUCCGCUUCGGGAUGGUCUCGCGGCCUAUCAGCUUGUUGGUGGGGUAAUGGCCCACCAAGGCUUCGACGGGUAGCUGGUCUGAGAGGAUGUCCAGCCACACUGGGACUGAGACACGGCCCAGACUCCUACGGGAGGCAGCAGUAGGGAAUCUUGCACAAUGGACGAAAGUCUGAUGCAGCGACGCCGCGUGUGGGAUGACUG
rnacentral:rRNA from 1 species